rnacentral:rRNA from 2 species
AAAUUGAAGAGUUUGAUCAUGGCUCAGAUUGAACGCUGGCGGCAGGCCUAACACAUGCAAGUCGAACGGUAACAGGAAGCGCUUGCUGCUUCGCUGACGAGUGGCGGACGGGUGAGUAAUGUCUGGGAAACUGCCUGAUGGAGGGGGAUAACUACUGGAAACGGUAGCUAAUACCGCAUAACGUCGCAAGACCAAAGAGGGG